AUGAAGACUGAGCUUCGAGUGGAUGCCUCUGGAAAGGUGCUUGUUCCGGCUCCCAAGACACCGGCCGGUGAUUCCAAUCGACGCCCGCACCCGAACGACCACAAACGCAAGGCCCCUAUGCCGCCUUCCAGCAGUCGGCAAGUAGCCACAGUCAAAGACGAACAACCUAAAGAGCGGCCCAUGCCCAAGAAGCAAAAGGGCGGUAGGCCGGCUUGGCAGCCGGCUUUCUCCUACGAGCAAACCCUUGAUGCCCCUGCAAGUUCCACAGCGGCGAGAAGCCGUCCAACCAUACGACUCGGAAGUGUCAUUGGCUCACGCGAAUCUCCAAAGGCGAGGGACUGGUGCUGCCUCCACCUGCUGGCCAGCCGCCUCCAGCCCCUCAGCAGCCGGCUGCUCGACCAGCAGUCGGAGCCAUUCAAGACGAGUUCCCGAACGAUCAUGCCGCCUACGUCGUCUUCAUAA
rnacentral:rRNA from 1 species